CAGAUGCUCUGCGCUGGUUAAGCUAGUUAUUAUUAAUUUAUAUACAGCUUGACUCUGAAGGCUCUAGGUGCUUCACAAACAAGAAAUACAAUAAAACACAAUAAAACAAACUAUUAAAACAACCAUGAGUAAAACAAUUCAAAAUAUUCAAUAAUUACUAAAAGCUAGGCUAAAAAAAGGUAUCUUAAGGGCUUUUUAAAAGAUUGACAUAGAUGUUACGCCAAGGAUAUAUAUAGCGAGUGCAUUCCACAGCCCAGGAGUGACUUCAGAGAAGGCCUGCUCCUGAGUCACUGUCAGACGAACUGGAAGCAUCUGGAGACGGAUCACUCUCAAUGACCUUAAUGUGCGGUGGGGAUCCUGCAGAAAUUACCUCUCCCGGGUAACCUGGUCCUAAGCUGUUUAGGGCUUUAAAGCCUCAAGCUGGGCCUCUUUGUUCUGCUCCUAUGUGCCUGCCUGCCUGGAUUGGACUCUCUUUCUCUCUUUUGCAGGGAAUAACAGGACUUCUGGACAAUGUUUACAACUGACACAAAAGAGGUAUUUUUUUAAGCUUACCAGAUUCCAGUCACCCAAGUCAUCGUUCUGAGAAAAACAAGGAAAAGAAGAUAAAAUGGAAAAUACUACAUGUUCAGGUUUGGCUUCUAAUCACCCACAAUGCUGCAUUAGCCAUAAGAAAACUUAUGGAUUUGGUUCCAGUACAUUGGAUAAUCAACGUAUAAAGAAACUAGAUUCCUAAUUCCUAAUAUUCACUACUGGGUCUUCUGGAUAUUCUUGUUUAAAUACUUCUA